rnacentral:rRNA from 1 species
UACGGGGGGAGCAAGCGUUGUUCGGAUUUACUGGGCGUAAAGGGCGCGUAGGCGGUCAGCACAAGUCAGUUGUGAAAUCUCCGGGCUUAACCCGGAAAGGUCAACUGAUACUGUGCGACUAGAGUGCGGAAGGGGCAACUGGAAUUCUCGGUGUAGCGGUGAAAUGCGUAGAUAUCGAGAGGAACACCUGCGGCGAAGGCGGGUUGCUGGGCCGAUACUGACGCUGAUGCGCGAAAGCCAGGGGAGCGAACGGG